UCACUUGGAUUCAAAUUUCUUUAGUGGAACAAAACUUCUUUAAAUUACGUUUUGGAAAGCUGAGCACUGUGUUCUGAAAUAAUACGCUGAGCUCGGAUUUAGCUGAGCACGGAUUACAGUAAUUAACAUCGGGGUUCUACUAUUUAAAAGUUGUCCAAAAGAGGAGAAGGAGUUUCAGUAAGGG